GCUCUGGUGGCCUAAUGGUUAGAGCAUCCGCCUCAGAUGCAGGAGGUCGUGUGUUCGAUCCUUGGUUUAGUCAUAUCAAAGACU